rnacentral:lncRNA from 1 species
GUUAUUUUUUGUGGAAUAAAUUCAAUGUGCUAAUUAAUACUGCCUUAAAAUAGGAAAAUAAGAUAUGCCUUUGAACUGCCUAUAGGAAUAUAUACGUCAUUUCGUCAUAAAACGGUGGUAUAGUAGCAACACUAUUAGUAGUAAUACUAAGGAGAAGUUGUAGUAGACGUAGUAGUUGCUCUCUGCUGGCGACUGUCGGCGAUUACGGCGAACGAUGGCCGCGGCUUGUGCAGUCCUGAAACCCAACCAAUUUUGCACCCAAAUCGAAAGUUACUGAAGAGCAACCAAUUGCAACGAAUACAACCCUAGGUGACAAUAAACGACCACGAGUGCACUGAUACUUACUGAUUUCCAACCUCAGUUUUGGGUGUAGCAAAGCUGGAGUCUACGCGGACCUCCGGGGAUCGGCGUAGGCAAUGGUUGCAGGUUGGCCGCGGUAUUUUUGACGAGGUGGUUGCGCCGCGGACCAAGAUGGUGGCGUAGAGGUUAGCACCUACUAGCCAACCAUCUUGGCUUCACACAGUCAAGUGAGUGUAUUAAGGUCGAAUGGGGCACAGCAGAGGUAGAUGGCAGCAGCAUAGUUGCGGUGCACCAGCAACAGCAGCAAAAGUGAGAGAAUCAGCAGCAACAACAACGCAAACUCCAACAAUAUAUCUCAUCGCACGGCAGUGUUGGAGAGUUGGAGAGGAGAUAUAGUCGUGGGGAUCACGGCGCGAUGAAUGUGGAGUCUAUGUAGCGCAAUAGACACACACACACACAUAGAGCAGGUUGGAGCCGUGAACCGUUGGCGGUGGCAAUCCGAGUCGGUUGGCCACGUGAAAAUUCGAAUCGGUUGACGGCUUCGAGUUCUGACUUCGGAUAAAUGAAUUGGUUUGAAAUGAACGGAAACGUGGGUGUGCAGCUGGAAAACGGUGCGGAAAGGCUCACUGGAAAAUGUAAACUGGGUUGCUUUUGAUGGGUGAAGCUACAAUAAAUUUUGUGGAAACAUUCAAAAAGUGACUUUGAUCUACGAACUGAUUUAAAGUUUUAAUCGAUCGCUGGAAUUAAAUUGGAACUUUCCAAUACUGUUGAAUAAAUGCAUAGUUUUCUUCAAAAAUGAGAAAAA